CUGUACAGAACACGUGCGGUGGAGAGUAAGUCCUCAGGGACCACGCCAGAGUGGAUAUGGAGCUGGAACCUGACCUUCAUGCCGAUAAUACAAGACAUUUGCAUUUGCUAUACAGCAGGUGCAAAUGGCAGACAGAAUCCGUAACAACAGAUUUGAAAACAUGGCGGAAUGUGGGAUUACCAUGCAGGAUGUCCUUGAUGAACGGUAAUGGGAUUUCGUGGACUAGAAUGGGACAUAUUUACAGCCAGGUAAAAAAAGGUAAUGUUUAUUAACCAAUCCUAUCUCAGUUUCCUCGGAAAUGUAUUAAACAUUACCUCAGUGUCACACACGGACAUUACCACUGACCACCGCUUACAAAGUACAGGUCGUUUGCCGUCGUCUGGUGUAUUACCUAAUGUAUAAACAGAGUUCAGAUUGCCCGGGGCAAACUUUCAUUUGAUGUAGGACGUGUAUUGUCUAGUCGUAUAUACCUGUGCUUAGAUUGGACGUGUCAACACCGUACAAUGGAUAAGGUAUCGUUUCGCUCUCUGCAGCAGGUAACAAAUGGUGGGAAGAUUCCGUUGAAAUAUUUAAUAAUAGGACAGCAUUUUUCUUCAACGGAUUUAAGACUCGAAACAGUUUGUGCUACGCAGUAUUUGCCUGUGUGAAUCAACAUUUGACACAAAAAACGCUGAAGUUAAAGGGUUGUAACAUUGGUUUGUGAAUUGCUGAUAUUAUUGGGCUACAUUUCUUUCUGGAUACCACUAGCACGAAUGUGGGGAUACAUUUACGAUGGAAAUUGUAUUAUAAUAAUCUGGUAUUUGGAAUGAAUUGCAAAUAGUUGUCUAAAAAAUUCUAUUUAAACGAGUAUUUUAUGUUAUAGUGAUAAACUGGAAUUCUGAAUUGGGAAAAUAAUGAUUUUUUUGUCGGAAUUACUACCAUCAAAUACAUGUUUUGAGACAGGAUAUGUUACGGAUAUACUUAUAGCAGUAUGGCAGACAUCAGCUCCUGUUCACCCGCCAUGACAAUUUUGGUGGAUAAAAAACAGCAGACAUGUACAAAAAGGCGCGAGGAUUUUCGGAGACCCAGACCACGUGCCGAUCUCACAGAAAUUCAAUGCAACAUAACACAGGAUGUGACGUUAUGAUGAUGACUGACUACAUUCUUCAGUCAUGUGAGGUCACAUUCAAUAGACAGUAGGAGCACUGACCUCGUGAACUCGUCUCCCUACCUGUGGGCCUUGUACAACAAGAUAUGAGGAACGGUGAUGAUAUUUAGUCUGGGAAAGUGCCCUCGGAAGAAUACAUGAAGCGUUUGGUGGGCAGAGGAUAUAUUAACGAUACAUCCACCAUGGAAAAUGCAUUAACAUUUCCCAUCAGUACUAAGUGACCAGGGCAAGCCUCAAACGGAAGUUGGGAAAACGUUAUUGUCGUAGAGACAAAAGAUACAUUUUUAAAAGCAGAAAUUGUAUAUGUGUUUAUCAAUCAACUCUCCUCAUGCCUUCAAAGGAACAGACAUUUCUGAACUACAACUGUAAUAUAUGCAUGGAUAUAUUUCCUGAACAGCGGAAGGAUAAACAUAUAGGUCAGGAUAGCACUUGCGUGGACACUCAUUUGUCGAAGAAGGAUAUACAUAAGAAGAGGAACCACAACCGAAGUACCUUGCUCAGUUUUCAGGCGAUGAUUGUCCAAACGCAAUUCUUGUGCUAUUUUAUCAAGAACUGUGUCUGGACAUCAGUGCUUGAGACUAUAUCGGCUUCCUGUGACGUCAACACAACAAAGGUCAUCAUAGUUCAUACCGAAGGGGAAGUUCCUGUCCUCGACCACAAAUCGAUCGCUUCAUUGGAAUAUACCGCACACCGAAAACAUUUUUUGGGGGAAGCAAUUUUACUUAACUCACUAAUGUUUUCGCAUCUACAAUGAUCAAUAUAUAACAUUUCAUUUAUCCACCUUUUUAACACAUAUCAACGUUUGAAAUGUUGAGGAAAUAUUUGAUGUCAUAUCGAUGCUCUGGAACAGAUCUAUAUUUAGGAUUCAGUAGGAUUCAAAAUUAUCCAGUUAUCAUUAUAUCAUAUCGAUUAUAGUAAUAUUUAACUUUUAUUUAGCUUUCAUUUGUACUAAAAUAUAAAAUAAUUGUUAACGCUGUCAGGAAUAAAUACAUUGACAUGAAAGGAACAUUAUUACUAUACUCAUUACGAGUGUUACAUCAGAACUUUAUUUGUGGACCAAUCAAUAUAAUCCAAUGUAUCUAAAGGAUGUGGGUCACACUUUCAAUAUCAUUCGAACUGUUUGAAGUCGAUCUCAACGUGAAAUAAUUUCAAAACAAAUGCAUCAGCUAGUUAAGAAAUUGCAUUUUUUAUGAACAAGAAACAGAAUGUUGCAUUUUCAUUUUGUAUAGGGUUACCUCUCAUAAAAUUCUUAUAUACAUUCUUUUGAUUGUAUGGUAAGAAUGUUAUGUUACUGUAGACAGAUAGCCGACAAAUUCCAGUUGUAUGUUAAACAUGUAUGAAUUUUGUACAACAGAAGUAUUUAUGCGUAAGAAUUGUUCUGUUUUAUGAAAGUUUUUUUGUAAAAAUAAACUAUUCAUGUGAUAAUU